GACAGAGGGUGCAAACGUUGUUCGGAAUUACUGGGCGUAAAGCGUGUGUAGGCGGCUUUGCAAGUCGGAUGUGAAAGCCCCGGGCUCAACCCGGGAAGUGCACUCGAUACUGCAGAGCUUGAGUGUCGGAGAGGUUGGUGGAAUUCUCGGUGUAGAGGUGAAAUUCGUAGAUAUCGAGAGGAACACCGGCGGCGAAGGCGGCCAACUGGACGACAACUGACGCUGAGACACGAAAGCGUGGGGAGCAAACAGG
rnacentral:rRNA from 1 species